rnacentral:rRNA from 1 species
CCUACGGGGGGCAGCAGUGAGGAAUAUUGGUCAAUGGACGAGAGUCUGAACCAGCCAAGUAGCGUGAGGGAUGACUGCCCUAUGGGUUGUAAACUUCUUUUAUAUGGGAAUAAAACGUUCCACGUGUGGGAUUUUGUAUGUACCAUAUGAAUAAGGAUCGGCUAACUCCGUGCCAGCAGCCGCGGUAAUACGGAGGAUCCGAGCGUUAUCCGGAUUUAUUGGGUUUAAAGGGAGCGUAGGUGGAUUGUUAAGUCAGUUGUGAAAGUUUGCGGCUCAACCGUAAAAUUGCAGUUGAAACUGGCAGUCUUGAGUACAGUAGAGGUGGGCGGAAUUCGUGGUGUAGCGGUGAAAUGCUUAGAGAUCACGAAGAACUCCGAUUGCGAAGGCAGUUCACUGGACUGCAACUGACACUGAGGCUCGAAAGUGUGGGUAUCAAACAGGAUUAGAUACCCUAGUAGUC